GACGAACGCUGGCGGCGUGCUUAACACAUGCAAGUCGAACGGAAAGGCCCUGCAUUUGUGGGGUGCUCGAGUGGCGAACGGGUGAGUAACACGUGAGUAACCUGCCCUUGACUCUGGGAUAACUUCAGGAAACUGGGGCUAAUACCGGAUCGGAGCUCCUGCUGCAUGGUGGGGGUUGGAAAGUUUCGGCGGUUGGGGAUGGACUCGCGGCUUAUCAGCUUGUUGGUGGGGUAGUGGCUUACCAAGGCUUUGACGGGUAGCCGGCCUGAGAGGGUGACCGGCCACAUGGGGACUGAGAUACGGCCCAGACUCCUACGGGAGGCAGCAGUGGGGAAGAGUGCACGAUGGGCGGAAGCCUGAUGCAGCAACGCCGCGUGCGGGAUGACGGCCUUCGGGUUGUAAACCGCUUACGCCUGUGACGAAGCGUGAGUGAAGGUAAUGGGUAAAGAAGCACCGGCUAACUACGUG
rnacentral:rRNA from 1 species